UAGAUGGAGCACGUCAUGACAUUUUGAACUCAGACAUUUAAGAACUUGGUCAGAGUUUGGGAACAAGGGGAGAAAGCUCUAGAAUGUUCCCUUAGUUCCACUCACCUACUUCUCCCAAGCCAGGGGCUUGAGGGGAUGGUGCAAAGAGGAGGAAGUGUUAGUUCACUAUGUUCUCCAGAAGUUUACAUAAGAAGCCUGUUCCUGAAAGUGGACCUUGCUGCCUCUCUAAAGUCCUACAGGACAUCUCUCUGAAGGUCCGGGCCGGGGUGAGGGGAGCAGGUGCAGAGGGACCAGGGCAGUUCUGUGAGGAGCCCGGAAAUCAGUGAGCCAUCACCAUGAGAAGACUAUGUCCAGGCUGGCCCACUAGUCCCAGGAAGAAGAUGAGAAACACGUGGAGCAAAGCUACCCCAUCUCACCCCCAUUCUGAGCUCAGCCUGGAGCUGAUCUCCAACCCACGGGCUGACCACCUACAACUACAUAAAUUCCUGCUGUUGUUUACUGUU